UACGGAGGAUCCAAGCGUUAUCCGGAUUUAUUGGGUUUAAAGGGUGCGCAGGCGGGAUAAUAAGUCAGUGGUGAAAGUUUGCAGCUUAACUGUAAAAUUGCCAUUGAAACUGUUAUUCUUGAGUGCAGACAAGGUAGGCGGAAUGUAUUGUGUAGCGGUGAAAUGCUUAGAUAUAAUACAGAACCCCGAUUGCGAAGGCAGCUUACCGGACUGUAACUGACGCUCAGGCACGAAAGCGUGGGGAUCAAACAGGAUUAGAUACCCUGGUAGUCCACGCAGUAAACGAUGAAUACUAGCUGUUCGCGAUAUACAGCGAGUGGCACAGCGAAAGCGUUAAGUAUUCCACCUGGGGAGUACGUUCGCAAGAAUGAA
rnacentral:rRNA from 1 species